CGCGUGGCGAACGGGAGCGUAACACGUGGAUAACCUUCCCUCAGGUGGGGAAUAACCCACUUGAAAAUUGGGCUAAUACCGCAUAACAUGACGAUGCCACAUGGUGUUGUCUUCAAAGCCGCAAGGCGCCAGGAGAGGGAUCCGCGGCCGAUUAGCUUGUUGGCGAGGUAAUGGCUCACCAAGGCAUUGAUCGGUAGCCGGACUGAGAGGUUGGCCGGCCACUCUGGAACUGAGACACGGUCCAGACUCCUACGGGAGGCAGCAGUGGGGAAUCUUGCACAAUGGACGAAAGUCUGAUGCAGCAACGCCGCGUGGGGGAUGAAGCUUUUCGGAGUGUAAACCCCUUUCGACCCGGAAGAAUGCCAGCAAGGGCUUGACGGUACGGGUAUAAGAAGCCCCGGCUAACUACGUGCCAGCAGCCGCGGUAAUACGUAGGGGGCCAGCGUUGCUCGGAAUUACUGGGCGUAAAGGGUCCGUAGGCGGUGUGGCAAGUCGGGAGUGAAAUCUCUGGGCUUAACCCAGAGGCUGCUUCCGA
rnacentral:rRNA from 1 species